CAAGAAAAAGUGCACCAAUUUUUAGUUGGAUGUAAUGGUACCUUUAAUAUAAUACCUCAAAUUUUAGGAGUGAACAUUUACCUUCUCUUUCUAAAGCAUAUGCCUUGUUUACUCAAGAAGAGAAACAACAAUUAUUAUGUUCUUCUAUUAAACCUAUUGUUGAGGCUGUUGCUUUUACUGUUGGAAGUAAUACUAAUAUGUAUUUCAAAUCUAAAGAACGUUGUGCAUAU
rnacentral:lncRNA from 1 species